UACGUAGGGGGCAAGCGUUAUCCGGAUUUACUGGGUGUAAAGGGAGCGUAGACGGCGAUGCAAGUCUGAAGUGAAAGGCGGGGGCCCAACCCCCGGACUGCUUUGGAAACUGUAUAGCUGGAGUGCGGGAGAGGUAAGUGGAAUUCCUAGUGUAGCGGUGAAAUGCGUAGAUAUUAGGAGGAACACCAGUGGCGAAGGCGGCUUACUGGACUGUAACUGACGUUGAGGCUCGAAAGCGUGGGGAGCAAACAGG
rnacentral:rRNA from 1 species